rnacentral:rRNA from 1 species
AGCGGCGAACGGGUGAGUAACACGUAGGUGAUCUGCCCAUCAGACGGGGACAACGAUUGGAAACGAUCGCUAAUACCGGAUAGGACGAAAGUUUAAAGGUGCUUCUGGCACCGCUGAUGGAUGAGCCUGCGGCGCAUUAGCUAGUUGGUAGGGUAAAGGCCUACCAAGGCGACGAUGCGUAGCCGACCUGAGAGGGUGAACGGCCACACUGGGACUGAGACACGGCCCAGACUCCUACGGGAGGCAGCAGUAGGGAAUCUUCGGCAAUGGGCGAAAGCCUGACCGAGCAACGCCGCAUGAAUGAUGAAGGCCUUCGGGUUGUAAAAUUCUGUUAUAAGGGAAGAACGACUUUAGUAGGAAAUGGCUAGAGUGUGACGGUACCUUAUGAGAAAGCCACGGCUAACUACGUGCCAGCAGCCGCGGUAAUACGUAGGUGGCGAGCGUUAUCCGGAAUUAUUGGGCGUAAAGAGCGCGCAGGUGGUUGAUUAAGUCUGAUGUGAAAGCCCACGGCUUAACCGUGGAGGGUCAUUGGAAACUGGUCGACUUGAGUGCAGAAGAGGGAAGUGGAAUUCCAUGUGUAGCGGUGAAAUGCGUAGAGAUAUGGAGGAACACCAGUGGCGAAGGCGGCUUCCUGGUCUGUAACUGACACUGAGGCGCGAAAGCGUGGGGAGCAAACAGGAUUAGAUACCCUGGUAGUCCACGCCGUAAACGAUGAGUGCUAAGUGU